UAGGGAAUCUUCCACAAUGGACGCAAGUCUGAUGGAGCAACGCCGCGUGAGUGGAGAAGGUCUUCGGAUCGUAAAACUCUGUUGUUAGAGAAGAACACGAGUGAGAGUAACUGUUCAUUCGAUGACGGUAUCUAACCAGCAAGUCACGGCUAACUACGUGCUAG
rnacentral:rRNA from 1 species